UACGUAGGGUGCGAGCGUUGUCCGGAAUUAUUGGGCGUAAAGAGCUCGUAGGCGGUGUGUCACGUCGGCCGUGAAAACCUGCAGCUUAACUGUGGGCGUGCGGUCGAUACGGGCAUCACUGGAGUUCGGCAGGGGAGACUGGAAUUCCUGGUGUAGCGGUGAAAUGCGCAGAUAUCAGGAGGAACACCGGUGGCGAAGGCGGGUCUCUGAGCCGAUACUGACGCUGAGGAGCGAAAGCGUGGGGAGCAAACAGG
rnacentral:rRNA from 1 species